ACCCGUUGAUCCUGCGGGAGGUUGCUGCUAUCGGAAUUCGACUAAGGCAUGCAAGUUAGCCUGCAAGGGCGGCAGACUGCUGAGUAACACGUCGAUAACCUUACGUAUGGUCCGGGAUAACCUUGGGAAACUGAGGAUAAGACCGGAUAUGGGACGGACACUGGAAUGUUCCAUCCCUGAAAGGCAACGCCAUACGAUGGGUCGGCGGCGGAUUAGGCUGUUGGCGGGGUAAUGGCCCACCAAACCAUAGAUCCGUAGGGGCCUUGAGAGAGGUAGCCCCCAGAAGGACACUGAGACACUGGUCCUAGCCCUACGGGGUGCAGCAGCCGCGAAACCUUUACAAUGCACGAAAGUGUGAUAAGGGAAUUCCGAGUGCUUAUGUCUUACAUAGGCUUUUGCCAAGAGUAAAUAUCUUGGCGAAUAAGUGGUGGGUAAGACGGGUGCCAGCCGCCGCGGUAACACCUGCGCCACAAGUGGGAACCAUUAUUAUUGGGUCUAAAGCGUCCGUAGCUGGUUUUGUAAAUUCUCUGUGAAAUUGGCCUGCCUAACAGGUCAGCGUGCAGGGAACACUACCAGACUUGGGACCGGGAGAGGUCAGAGGUAUUUUGGGGGGAGCGGUAAAAUGUUAUAAUCCCAAGAGGACCACCAAUGGCGAAGGCAUCUGACCAGAACGGAUCUGACAGUGAGGGACGAAAGCCAGGGGAGCGAACCGGAUUAGAUACCCGAGUAGUCCUGGCCCUAAACGCUGCGAGCAGAGUGUUGCGUAAUCUCCGUGAUUGCGCAGUGUUGAAGAGAAGUCGUUAAGCUCGCCACCUGGGAAGUAUGGUCGCAAGGCUGAAACUUAAAGGAAUUGGCGGGGGAGCACUACAAGGGGUGCGGCGUGCGGUUUAAUCUAAUUCAACGCAGAGAACCUCACCAGCAGCGCCGGCAGGAUGAAGGACAGUCUGAAGGGCUUUCCGGACAAGCCGAGAGGUGGUGCAUGGCCGUCGUCAGCUCGUGCCGUGAGGUGUACAUUUAAGUAUGACAACGAGCGAGACCUGUACCUCUAAUUGCUAACGGGACUAUCAGUUGACUGAGCACAUUAGAGGGACUGCCUUGGUAACAAGGAGGAAGGUGCAGGCUACGGUAGGUCUGUAUGCCCCGAAUCUGCUGGGCUACACGCGCGCAACAAUGGUAAGGACAAUGGGACACGACUCCGAAAGGAGAAGUUAACCCUCUAAACCUUAUCUCAGUACGGAUUGAGGGUUGCAACUCACCCUCAUGACGCCGGAAUCCCUAGUAAUCGGAAGUUAGCAUCUUCCGGUGAAUAUGUCCCUGCUCCUUGCACACACCGCCCGUCAAAUCACCCGAGCAGGGUCUAGGUGAGUUGCGGUUUUACGAUCGCCACGAAUCUAGGCUCAGUGAGGGGGGUUAAGUCGUCACAAGGUA
rnacentral:rRNA from 1 species